GGGAUCAAACCCUUGCCACACUGCCCUGCUUGAGGAAGUAGAUAUUGCCAGGGGACCCCGGGGGCGGGGGGGAGGGGUCUGCAGAGCAUAAUGAACAACUUCUAGACCGUUGGUCCAGUAAAUAUUUGCCUGAGGCAUGAUAGUCCCCGAGUCCUUUCUUCCCAUCUUUCUGGAUUUAUGUAGAAGGGAUUAUAUUUUCCUUAAAAUAUGGGAGUGUGAGAUAAGCAGCAGAGCUAGUUAUUGCCUGGGGUUAAAGACACCAAGGACCUUGUUUGGUCUGGACACCAAACUGUGCUUUUUUAUUAUUAUUAUUAUUUUUUUUUUUAUAGAAGCCACGGGCCUUUCACAUUUAAGUAGAGACUCCUAGAGAACAGGAAGAAAUGGCUUUACAAUGUAUUGGGUAACGUGAGUGGCGCCAUAUAUCUGUAUCCUCACGUUUUGCAAGAGCUCCUUAUGCUACAAUGUAUGAUGUGCGCUGGACUGUGUAUGGUGCAUUGAGUGAGGCUGAGAGUUGUUCUCAUGCAUCAGCCAGCUCAUCAGGCAGCCAACAACUCUUUGAUUCUCUUUUUGAGAUAAAAUUCCUGUGACAUAAACCUUGCCAUUUAAAGGAUUCGAUUCAGUGGUUCUUAACGAUUUUGUGCAACCGUCUCUACUCUCUCCUUCCAGAACAUUUUCCUCCUUCCCAGAAGAAGCCCGUUACCCAUGAAGCAGUCACUCCCUGUUCUCUAGCUCCUGGCAACCACUCAUUCUCUCUGCGGAUUUGCCUAUUCUAGACGUUUCAUAUAAAUGGAAUCAUGUCUGGCUUCUUUCACUUUGUACAAUCUUCAUGGACAUGCAUCUAAUUACUUUCUUACGGUACUUUUUAGGAGUAGAAUUAUCCCACAGACCAAUCCUCAAAUGUCUAGCUGGGAUGGACAGACUCAACGGUUGGGGUAGCAACCACCUUGAGCCAUCAAAUAAGAGCUCUCGUAGUGGAGAAGGCCACGUGGAAGCUUUUGAAACUGCUGCUUGCUCCCCCAGCCGUGAUAGUGAAUCAAAACCAAUAUCCCAUUUUGUGAGGGACGGGGGAGGUGAGUGCUGCCGUAGUAUCUUAAGAACGCACGGCUGGUGGUCCCUGUUGUGUCUGCAUGUGAGCCGGUCGCUUGCCCUCCUUGUAAAAACGGGACGGAUUCUGGAGAACGUAGACGUUCGCAGGUUUAAAUGCUCAACCCCCGCUGUGACUCCUGAGAUGGUGACGUGUCUUUGCUCGAGCAGGUUCACAUGGUAUCUGGGCACUGAUGGGGUGAAUGCAUUCUUUUCUGUCUCGGUCAGAAAAAAAGUAGCCCAAACUGCAGUCAUGUGGAACAGAUGGGACCACACCUUCACAGUUUCACCCGCGCCCACCCUUCUCCCCUUGGUCGUGGUAGAGCCGGAAGAGGCCUGGGCCGUCUGGCCAUCUCAUAGGAGCUCCCUUUGGUCUGUUACAUUGACGACCUCGUGCUGGUCCAGGCGGUGUGAGUAAGAGGAGGUGAGCACGUGGGGAUGUUGGCAGGUUACAUGUGCUCCGGAGUGGGCACUGCCCUAUCGUUUGCCCCAGGGAAUGUAUUUGGCUUUAAGAUACGUCCACAGAUUGUUUGAUGCGCCUCCCAUCGAGAGGGGGGACCUCAUUCCCUCCCCUGGACCUGGCUAGACCCCGGCCCUCGAUUCCAACGAAGAGGAGAAAACAGAGGGACGGUGCAGGACUUCAGAGUAGGGCCCUAAGAGGCGCGGCUGUUGGUCUCACGGUCUCUUGGAUCCGUCGCUGUGGUGGAGGAACACGUGCAUGUGGUCGGGCCACCCAGGCCGCCUGUGGAAAGGCCACCUGGAGGAGAACCGGGGCUUCCUGACCAUGCGGGCACCGACGUGCCAGGAGUGUGAGGGCGCCGUCUUGGAAGCCGAUCCUCUGGCCCCGUUUAGGUCUCUCGUGGACGUAGCCCUUCAUGAACGCUUAUGGGGGUCCUGAGCCAGAACCUUCUGAUCGCUGACCUUCAGAAACCGCGAGAUCAUAAAUUGUCAAGCAACUUAGCUUUGGGGUGUUUGUUACACAACAGGAGAGGCUACUGCACGGUCCCCCAAGCUGGUCCUUCUCCACAGCCAGCACGGCCCUGGUGUGUUAUGUUCGCCAGUCUGGCGGGGGCAUGGCCUCAUCACCCGGGGUUUAAUUUCGGUUUCCCCCGUGACUGCGGCAGUGGAGCACCCUUUCAUUCAAAUCUGCCCCGCUCUGUGAGUGCUGUCUGUGUGUGUAGACACACAUGCACACACCCACAGUCUGGGUUGUUUAUUUGGUGGAGUGUUCAGGCUUUUUGCCCACUUUUCUGCUGGGUUGCUUGCCAUUUCCUAAUUGGUUUGUAGGAGUUCUUCAUGUGUUCUCGAUACACGUCCUUUGUCUUAUGCGUAUUGUGAAUAUCUUUUCUCAGUUUAUCUCAGUUUAUCAAUUUUUUUCCUUCGUUUUUAGUCCUUUUGGUGUCCCAUUCAAGAAAACGUUGGAGGGGAGUUCCCGUCAUGGCUCAGUGGUUAACAAACCCAACUAGGAACCAUGCAGUUGAGGGUUUGAUCCCUGGCCUCGCUCAGUGGGUUGAGGAUCCGGCGUUGCCGUGAGCUGUGGUGUAGGUUGCAGAUGUAGGCCGGCAGCUGCAGCUCCCAUUCGAGCCCUAGCCUGGGAACCUCCAUAUGCCGCAAAUGCAGCCCUAAAAAAAAAAAGACAAAAGACUAAAUAAAUAAAUAAAUAAAUAAAUAAAUAAAAAAGAAAGAAAGAAAACUUUGGAGUUCCCUUGGGGUACAGGAGGUUAAGGAUGCAGCACUACUGUCACUACAGUAGCUCAGGUUGUGGCUGUGAUGUGGGUUCCUCCCCUUGCCUGGGAACAUCCAUAUACAGUGGGUGUGACUGAAAAAAAAAAAAAAGAAAGAAAAAA
ensembl:lncRNA